rnacentral:rRNA from 1 species
AUAUGAGAUAUAAUAGGGCUAAAACUCUUAACCCGGCUUAAGCAUUUUGGGUGGUGGCUAGACCCAAGAGGUUAAGAAAGUUAAGCGUGCUAGGACGGGAGUAGUCCUAGGAUGGGUGACCCCCUGGGAAGUCGGGGCGUCACAGUUA